UGAAGCUGGAAUUGCUAGUAAUGGCAGGUCAGCAUACUGCCGUGAAUACGUUCCCGGGCCCUUGUACACACCGCCCGUCACACCAUGAGAGUUGGGAAUACCCGAAGCCUGUGAGCUAACUUAUAGAGGCAGCAGUCGAAGGUAGAAUCAAUGAUUGGGGUGAAGUCGUAACAAGGUAAC
rnacentral:rRNA from 1 species